rnacentral:tRNA from 1 species
GCGAGUAUAGCUCAGAGGUAGAGCGUAACCUUGCCAAGGUUAAUGUCGCGCGUUCAAAUCGCGUUACUCGCU